rnacentral:rRNA from 1 species
CGUUCGGAUUCUGGGNGUAAGGGUGNGCAGGCGGUUAAUCAAGCCAUAGUGGUGAAAGUCUAAGGGCUUNACCUUAGGAAUGCAUAUUGAACUGUGUUAACCUAGAGUGCAUGGAGAGGCAAGUGGAAUUCCUAGUGUAGCGGUGAAAUGCGUAGAUAUUAUGGAGGAACACCAGGUGGCGAAGGCGACUUGCUGGACUGUAACUGACGCUGAGUCACGAAAGCGUGGGGAGCAAACAGGAUUAGAUACCCNUGGGUAGUCCA